rnacentral:rRNA from 1 species
AGAGUUUGAUCCUGGAUCAGGAUAAACGCUGGCGGCGCACAUAAGACAUGCAAGUCGAACGAACUUAACCAUUAGUUUACUAUUGGAGCGGUUAGUGGCGGACUGGUGAGUAACACGUAAGCAACCUGACUAUCAGAGGGGAACAACAGUUAGAAAUGACUGCUAAUACCGCAUAUGCCUUAGAAUCACAUGGCUCGAAAGGGAAAGGAGCAAUCCGCUGAUAGAUGGGCUUGCGU